rnacentral:rRNA from 1 species
AUAGGUUAAUGAGGCGAACCGGGGGAACUGAAACAUCUAAGUACCCCGAGGAAAAGAAAUCAACCGAGAUUCCCCCAGUAGCGGCGAGCGAACGGGGAGCAGCCCAGAGCCUGAAUCAGUGUGUGUGUUAGUGGAAGCGUCUGGAAAGGCGUGCGAUACAGGGUGACAGCCCCGUACACAAAAAUGCACAUAUUGUGAGCUCGAUGAGUAGGGCGGGACACGUGGUAUCCUGUCUGAAUAUGGGGGGACCAUCCUCCAAGGCUAAAUACUCCUGACUGACCGAUAGUGAACCAGUACCGUGAGGGAAAGGCGAAAAGAACCCCGGCGAGGGGAGUGAAAAAGAACCUGAAACCGUGUACGUACAAGCAGUGGGAGCACGCUUAGGCGUGUGACUGCGUACCUUUUGUAUAAUGGGUCAGCGACUUAUAUUCUGUAGCAAGGUUAACCGAAUAGGGGAGCCGAAGGGAAACCGAGUCUUAACUGGGCGUUAAGUUGCAGGGUAUAGACCCGAAACCCGGUGAUCUAGCCAUGGGCAGGUUGAAGGUUGGGUAACACUAACUGGAGGACCGAACCGACUAAUGUUGAAAAAUUAGCGGAUGACUUGUGGCUGGGGGUGAAAGGCCAAUCAAACCGGGAGAUAGCUGGUUCUCCCCGAAAGCUAUUUAGGUAGCGCCUCGUGAAUUCAUCUCCGGGGGUAGAGCACUGUUUCGGCAAGGGGGUCAUCCCGACUUACCAACCCGAUGCAAACUGCGAAUACCGGAGAAUGUUAUCACGGGAGACACACGGCGGGUGCUAACGUCCGUCGUGAAGAGGGAAACAACCCAGACCGCCAGCUAAGGUCCCAAAGUCAUGGUUAAGUGGGAAACGAUGUGGGAAGGCCCAGACAGCCAGGAUGUUGGCUUAGAAGCAGCCAUCAUUUAAAGAAAGCGUAAUAGCUCACUGGUCGAGUCGGCCUGCGCGGAAGAUGUAACGGGGCUAAACCAUGCACCGAAGCUGCGGCAGCGACACUAUGUGUUGUUGGGUAGGGGAGCGUUCUGUAAGCCUGUGAAGGUGUACUGUGAGGUAUGCUGGAGGUAUCAGAAGUGCGAAUGCUGACAUAAGUAACGAUAAAGCGGGUGAAAAGCCCGCUCGCCGGAAGACCAAGGGUUCCUGUCCAACGUUAAUCGGGGCAGGGUGAGUCGACCCCUAAGGCGAGGCCGAAAGGCGUAGUCGAUGGGAAACAGGUUAAUAUUCCUGUACUUGGUGUUACUGCGAAGGGGGGACGGAGAAGGCUAUGUUGGCCGGGCGACGGUUGUCCCGGUUUAAGCGUGUAGGCUGGUUUUCCAGGCAAAUCCGGAAAACUAAGGCUGAGGCGUGAUGACGAGGCACUACGGUGCUGAAGCAACAAAUGCCCUGCUUCCAGGAAAAGCCUCUAAGCAUCAGGUAACAUCAAAUCGUACCCCAAACCGACACAGGUGGUCAGGUAGAGAAUACCAAGGCGCUUGAGAGAACUCGGGUGAAGGAACUAGGCAAAAUGGUGCCGUAACUUCGGGAGAAGGCACGCUGAUAUGUAGGUGAAGUCCCUCGCGGAUGGAGCUGAAAUCAGUCGAAGAUACCAGCUGGCUGCAACUGUUUAUUAAAAACACAGCACUGUGCAAACACGAAAGUGGACGUAUACGGUGUGACGCCUGCCCGGUGCCGGAAGGUUAAUUGAUGGGGUCAGCGCAAGCGAAGCUCUUGAUCGAAGCCCCGGUAAACGGCGGCCGUAACUAUAACGGUCCUAAGGUAGCGAAAUUCCUUGUCGGGUAAGUUCCGACCUGCACGAAUGGCGUAAUGAUGGCCAGGCUGUCUCCACCCGAGACUCAGUGAAAUUGAACUCGCUGUGAAGAUGCAGUGUACCCGCGGCAAGACGGAAAGACCCCGUGAACCUUUACUAUAGCUUGACACUGAACAUUGAGCCUUGAUGUGUAGGAUAGGUGGGAGGCUUUGAAGUGUGGACGCCAGUCUGCAUGGAGCCGACCUUGAAAUACCACCCUUUAAUGUUUGAUGUUCUAACGUUGACCCGUAAUCCGGGUUGCGGACAGUGUCUGGUGGGUAGUUUGACUGGGGCGGUCUCCUCCUAAAGAGUAACGGAGGAGCACGAAGGUUGGCUAAUCCUGGUCGGACAUCAGGAGGUUAGUGCAAUGGCAUAAGCCAGCUUGACUGCGAGCGUGACGGCGCGAGCAGGUGCGAAAGCAGGUCAUAGUGAUCCGGUGGUUCUGAAUGGAAGGGCCAUCGCUCAACGGAUAAAAGGUACUCCGGGGAUAACAGGCUGAUACCGCCCAAGAGUUCAUAUCGACGGCGGUGUUUGGCACCUCGAUGUCGGCUCAUCACAUCCUGGGGCUGAAGUAGGUCCCAAGGGUAUGGCUGUUCGCCAUUUAAAGUGGUACGCGAGCUGGGUUUAGAACGUCGUGAGACAGUUCGGUCCCUAUCUGCCGUGGGCGCUGGAGAACUGAGGGGGGCUGCUCCUAGUACGAGAGGACCGGAGUGGACGCAUCACUGGUGUUCGGGUUGUCAUGCCAAUGGCACUGCCCGGUAGCUAAAUGCGGAAGAGAUAAGUGCUGAAAGCAUCUAAGCACGAAACUUGCCCCGAGAUGAGUUCUCCCUGACUCCUUGAGAGUCCUGAAGGAACGUUGAAG